ensembl:lncRNA
UGCCUGUGAGCCUUCUGUCCACCUCUAUGGUGGACUGCCUGUGAGCCUUCUGUCCACCUCUAUGGUGGGAGAACAAAGUGCUGCUGGAUAUAUAUGACACAGUCCCCUUUAAAAACAUAUUUGUGUUUUUCACCCUGGGUUUACCUGAGACAGGAAGUAAAGUUGUUUUUAAAUUCUCUACUGGCCCUGGUGUAUUCCAUAUACAUUGCACGGGGGGUGGGGGGGAGACAAUGGAGGGGGGCAGAACACGAAGUGCUGCUGGAUAUAUACGACACAGUCCCUCUCAAAAACGAAACAUAUUUGCUUAGUAGAGACCUUAAUGAAUUAUUUCCAACCCACUUUAACUGAGGAGACAGGGUCCUACAGACAGGGGCCUACAGACAGGGGCCUACAGACAGGGGCCUACAGACAGGGGCCUACAGACAGGGGCCUACAGUCAGGGGCCUACAGAAGGGGCCUACAGUCAGGGGCCUACAGUCAGGGGCCUACAGUCAGGGCCUACAGAAGGGGCCUACAAACAGGGGCCUACAGACAGGGGCCUACAGACAGGGCCUACAGACAGGGGCCUACAGACAGGGCCUACAAACAGGGGCCUACAGACAGGGGCCUACAGACAGGGCCUACAGACAGGUCCUACAAACAGGGGCCUACAGACAGGGGCCUACAGACAGGGGCCUACAGACAAGGGGCCUACAGACAGGGCCUACAAACAGGGGCCUACAAACAGGGGCCUACAAACAGGGGCCUACACACAGGGGCCUACAAACAGGGGCCUACAGACAGGGGCCUACAGACAGGGGCCUACAGACAGGGGCCUACAGACAGGGGCCUACAGACAGGGCCUACAAACAGGGGCCUACAGACAGGCCCUACAGACAAGGUCCUACAGACAGGUCCUGCAGCCCAAUAUUUCAACAUUGUAUUUUUCAAUAUUGGUCCUAAAAAGUUGUCUUUGAAGCAAUUUUUUUCCAUAAGUAACUUAUUGCAUUUUCUUAUUAGCACAAUAAAGGUGGCCAUUGAUUAAAAUGGAAUCUUUUGAAUCAGUUAUUGAUGUUGAAAUUCAGGCUUUUAUGUUGAAGUUUUUUUAAUAGAAAUGUUUUUUGUUUUUUUUGUGAAAUAAGGUGUCAAGAAUGUGUAUUUUAAUUGACCUGCCUGAUAAAGUUAAG